rnacentral:rRNA from 1 species
AUCAUGGCUCAGAUUGAACGCUGGCGGCAUGCUUUACACAUGCAAGUCGAACGGUAACAGGUUAAGCUGACGAGUGGCGAACGGGUGAGUAAUGCAUCGGAACGUGCCCGGUCGUGGGGGAUAACGCAGCGAAAGCUGCGCUAAUACCGCAUACGAUCUGAGGAUGAAAGCGGGGGACCGUAAGGCCUCGCGCGAUCGGAGCGGCCGAUGUCAGAUUAGGUAGUUGGUGGGGUAAAGGCUCACCAAGCCGACGAUCUGUAGCUGGUCUGAGAGGACGACCAGCCACACUGGGACUGAGACACGGCCCAGACUCCUACGGGAGGCAGCAGUGGGGAAUUUUGGACAAUGGGCGCAAGCCUGAUCCAGCAAUGCCGCGUGCAGGAAGAAGGCCUUCGGGUUGUAAACUGCUUUUGUACGGAGCGAAAAGGCUCUCUCUAAUACAGGGAGUUCAUGACGGUACCGUAAGAAUAAGCACCGGCUAACUACGUG